UACAGAGGGGGCAAGCGUUGUUCGGAAUUACUGGGCGUAAAGGGCGCGUAGGCGGCCUGCUAAGUCGAACGUGAAAUCCCUGGGCUCAACCCAGGAACUGCGUCCGAUACUGGUUGGCUUGGAUCCGGGAGAGGGACGUGGAAUUCCAGGUGUAGCGGUGAAAUGCGUAGAUAUCUGGAGGAACACCGGUGGCGAAGGCGGCAUCCUGGACCAAUAUUGACGCUGAGGAGCGAAAGCCAGGGGAGCAAACGGG
rnacentral:rRNA from 1 species